rnacentral:rRNA from 1 species
GCGUAAUACCGGAUAAUUCUUUUCUACACAUGUAGAAAAGUCGAAAGAUGGUUUCGGCUAUCACUCAUAGAUGGGCCCGCGGCGCAUUAGCUAGUUGGUGAGGUAACGGCUCACCAAGGCGACGAUGCGUAGCCGACCUGAGAGGGUGAUCGGCCACACUGGGACUGAGACACGGCCCAG